UACGAAGGGGGCUAGCGUUGUUCGGAAUUACUGGGCGUAAAGCGUGCGCAGGCGGCUUCUCAAGUCAGGGGUGAAAGCCCAGAGCUCAACUCUGGAACUGCCUUUGAGACUGAGAGGCUUGAGUACGGGAGAGGUGAGUGGAAUUCCCAGUGUAGAGGUGAAAUUCGUAGAUAUUCGGAAGAACACCAGUGGCGAAGGCGACUCGCUGGACAGGUAUUGACGCUGAGGUGCGAAAGCGUGGGGAGCAAACAGG
rnacentral:rRNA from 1 species